AAGAGGUUUAAUAAAUCCAUAAAAGUUUAGGUUUACAAUUUAAUUGAAUUAAAAGUAUAAUUGUUAAAUUAGACCACCUAGUAUUUAAAAAGUAUAAAAUACACCCUAUACUAUAUAUAACAUUAAAAGUCUAACAUUAUAUAUAUGUAUGAGUAAAAGUCAGUCUUACCGUUAGUAGGCCUCAUUCACGAAGCUAGUCUAUAAGGGGUGUUUAAGGAAAUUGCCUAUAAAAUGGCGAUUGAAUGGGUAUCCACUCUUACCCACCGCACUCUUGACUAGUGGAGGGUCGUUAGCCGAACGGGUAGGAUAGGAGAGAACAUUCCAUUAUAAGUAUAAUGAAGUACAAAAGUAACUAAAUGUUUUACAAAUUCCCAAUCUUAGUUCCUUUAGGCAAAAAUGAAUUGAUGCAAUUCAAUGAAAUUACACGUUGUGCCCUUGCGAAGACGCUAGUGGAGCGUGUGUGGUUAACCGGCACACUAAAUGGUUCUAAGCAAAGGUAGCAAAGGGUGACUCAAUGUUUGUCAUAGUUCGGUGGAGCGUGUGUGGUUUACCGGCACAUCGAAUAGGUGACUGUAACAUGUGAGGGCACCAUGUAAGUUUGCAUGGUUAUUCACACCCGCUUUGUGAUCCUCGGCAUCCCAGUCACAAACAAGAGGGGCAUAUCGAGAUUUAAACAUGCCAUUGAAAUGUUCAAUGAAUCUCAAAGGAUCUAGGAGUUUUCAUAGAAUUAAAACUUAAAUUUCUUUUUCGUUUUUCAUAAUGGAAAAUUAGUGAGUCGUCAUUCACUUACCUUCAGAUGUUCUGUAAUUUGGGUUACGGCAUCCCUCUCCCGAGUUGUGGAAUAUUGUGUUGGGUCCUAGCCUUAAUAUCUCAUUUGGGUAAUUUAUUAAGGACUCAAUCAAUCAACUAACUUCAAUUUUUUUCCCGUUUUGUAGAUGUCAAAAGUUCGACAACUAUGGUCUUCCUAAAUCCCGUGGAACAAGCAUUCCACAUGAAGAUGGUAUUCCACGAUUCGAUCGAGGAACAAGAGAUCAUGCUUCACUUCCUCCUCCUCCUCCAAUUAUUCUCCCUAACCCACAAGAUCGAAGAAUUGAAAGGUUCAAUGUCACUAAAGCCCGAUUGGAAAUGAAACAUGAAGAUGGUAAACCCGUGUGUGCCCACAUUCUAGGAAUGAAAUCACACAUCGAUAGGUUAAUUAUGUUGGGUGCGUCAUUCCCUGAUGAGUUGGCUAUAGGUUGGGUUCUAUAGUCACUCCCUGAACGAUAUAAUGAGUUCAAAAGAAAGUAUUAUAUGAUGGAUAAUGAUGCAAACCUCAGUGACCUAACUUACAUGCUCAUUGUUGCUGAAUCAGAAAUGAUUUGGCAAAGCAAUGGAGCAUAUUUGUUAAGAAAGUCAACCAACCAUGCUUCCGAGGGCGUUCCAGGAGAACCGACCUGCGUUUGUUGCCAAGAGAAAGGGCGUUGGAUACAAGUCUACCCUAAGAGCCUGAAGAGUCGAAAAGAUGGGAGAGUCAAAGAGUAUGGUUGUGCUUCAGGUAAAAUCCACUAUCUAACUCCAUUAAGUUCCUAUUCGUUGAUUCUUAAUACAUGAUGUGAUAAGAUUGCAUUUGAAUGUUUUGCAGGAUCAGUGAAAAGAGAGGAAGCUUGAUGNNNNNNNNNNNNNNNNNNNNNNNNNNNNNNNNNNNNNNNNNNNNNNNNNNNNNNNNNNNNNNNNNNNNNNNNNNNNNNNNNNNNNNNNNNNNNNNNNNNNNNNNNNNNNNNNNNNNNNNNNNNNNNNNNNNNNNNNNNNNNNNNNNNNNNNNNNNNNNNNNNNNNNNNNNNNNNNNNNNNNNNNNNNNNNNNNNNNNNNNNNNNNNNNNNNNNNNNNNNNNNNNNNNNNNNNNNNNNNNNNNNNNNNNNNNNNNNNNNNNNNNNNNNNNNNNNNNNNNNNNNNNNNNNNNNNNNNNNNNNNNNNNNNNNNNNNNNNNNNNNNNNNNNNNNNNNNNNNNNNNNNNNNNNNNNNNNNNNNNNNNNNNNNNNNNNNNNNNNNNNNNNNNNNNNNNNNNNNNNNNNNNNNNNNNNNNNNNNNNNNNNNNNNNNNNNNNNNNNNNNNNNNNNNNNNNNNNNNNNNNNNNNNNNNNNNNNNNNNNNNNNNNNNNNNNNNNNNNNNNNNNNNNNNNNNNNNNNNNNNNNNNNNNNNNNNNNNNNNNNNNNNNNNNNNNNNNNNNNNNNNNNNNNNNNNNNNNNNNNNNNNNNNNNNNNNNNNNNNNNNNNNNNNNNNNNNNNNNNNNNNNNNNNNNNNNNNNNNNNNNNNNNNNNNNNNNNNNNNNNNNNNNNNNNNNNNNNNNNNNNNNNNNNNNNNNNNNNNNNNNNNNNNNNNNNNNNNNNNNNNNNNNNNNNNNNNNNNNNNNNNNNNNNNNNNNNNNNNNNNNNNNNNNNNNNNNNNNNNNNNNNNNNNNNNNNNNNNNNNNNNNNNNNNNNNNNNNNNNNNNNNNNNNNNNNNNNNNNNNNNNNNNNNNNNNNNNNNNNNNNNNNNNNNNNNNNNNNNNNNNNNNNNNNNNNNNNNNNNNNNNNNNNNNNNNNNNNNNNNNNNNNNNNNNNNNNNNNNNNNNNNNNNNNNNNNNNNNNNNNNNNNNNNNNNNNNNNNNNNNNNNNNNNNNNNNNNNNNNNNNNNNNNNNNNNNNNNNNNNNNNNNNNNNNNNAAUUAGUCUAAUUUCCAAAUAUGAAAUUUCUCAUUCAUCGUGCAACCAAGUUGCAUGAUUCCAAGUUUCUGUCCAAUUGAAACUUGGGCGAUGAGAAACUCUCCCUAUUUGGUAAACUCUCGACAUUUCCACAAACAAAAUAAUUAAGAAUCCAAUCCAUUAUUGCUAAUAUUCAUGAGAAACUCUCCCUAUUUGGUAAACUCUCGACAUUUCCACAAACAAAAUAAUUAAGAAUCCAAUCCAUUAUUGCUAAUAUUCGAAACCCUCAAACAUCAAUUUUCAUGCAUGCCAUUGCAAGGAUAAAUAAAUAAUAUAAAAUCAAAAUUUAUUUUAUUGCGGAAAAAUUUUGUCCCCACAAUGCAAUUCAUUGAAAAACUAUGCUAAUACAUCUUUCUUAGCAAUCUAAUUCUAACUCUAAGUAGUAGCUCAAGAAUCUAAUCUUCAAGAAAUGCGAUCGAAAUCCAUUCCUUCACGGUUAGAUUCUGCUCACUUCUUCCCUUAAGCUUCCUUUCUUUUCUUUGAUCCUACAAAACAUCAAUUUUGUAAUCUUAUCCCAUCUCUUAGAUCUCUUAGGUAAAUAGGGCAGCUUCGUCUCCAAUGCCCCUUCUCUUGGCAAUAAAAGCAAAUUGACUCUUUUGGAACAACACAUGGAACUACUUUAGCUAUUGCCUUUCUCUUACGAUCAAACUCUUCGAUCAUGGCAUGUCUUUCGUUGCCAUUGCCUAUAUCCGCAGAGGUCUGGAAGGCAGAUUCACCAAUCAACUUUGGUUUUCCAUUGCGCCAAACCAUUGCUGAUUCAGCAGCAAUAAGCAUAUAGGUGAGAUCGAUAAGGGUCACAUCGUGGUUCAUCAUAUAGUACUCUCUCACGAACUCACUAUAUGAUUUAGGAAGUGACUGAAGAACCCAGUCAACAGCCAUCUCCUCACAGACAACGGAUCCCAACAUUCUUAACCUAUCAAUGCGUGACUUCAUCCCUAGGACGUGUGCACACACAGACUUUCCUUCUUUAUGUUUACUUGCCAAAAGGGCUUGAGUGAGCUUGAACUUUUCAAGCCUUCGAACUUGUGGGUUAGGGAGAAUAAUUGGAGGAGGUGGAGGAAGAAAAGUAUGAUCUCUUGUUCCUCGAUCGAAUCGUGGAAUAUCAUCUUCAUGUGGAAAGCUUGUUCCACGGGAUUUGGGAAGACCAUAGCUGUCGAACUUUGACAUCUACAAAACGGGAGAAAACGAAUUCAAGUUAGAUGAUUGAUUGAGUCCUUAGUAAAUCACUCAAUUGAGAUACUAAGGCUAGGACACAACACAAUAUGCUACAACCUAGAAAAGGGAUUCCGUAAUCUAGUUGCAUAAUAUUUGAAGGUAAGUGAAUGACGAUUCACUAAUUUCUACCAUGAAAAACGAAAAAGAAAUUCAAGUUUUAAAUCUAUGAAAACUCCUAGAUCCUUUGAGAUUCAUUGAACAUUUCAAUGGCAUGUUUAAAUCUCGAUAUGCCCCUCUUGUUUGUGACUGGGAUGCCGAGGAUCACAAAGCGGGUGUGAAUAACCAUGCAAACUUACAUGGUGCCCUCACAUGUUACAGUCACCUAUUCGAUGUGCCGGUAAACCACACACGCUCCACCGAACUAUGACAAACAUUGAGUCACCCUUUGCUACCUUUGCUUAGAACCAUUUAGUGUGCCGGUUAACCACACACGCUCCACUAACGUCUUCGCAAGGGCACAAAGUGUAAUUUCAUGGAAUUGCAUCAAUUCACUUUUGCCUAAGUAACUAAGAUUGGGAAUUUUAUGAAAACAUUUAGUUACUUUAAUAAUUCAUUAUACUUAUAAUGGAAGGUUUUGUCCUAUCCUACCCGUUCGGCUAACGACCCUCCACUAGUCAAGAGUGCGGUGGGUAAGAGUGGAUACCCAUUCAAUCGCCAUUUUAUAGGCAAUUUCCUUAAACACCCCUUAUAGACCAGCUUCGUGAAUGAGGCCUACUAACGGUAAGACUGACUUUUACUCAUACAUAUAUAUAAUGUUAGACUUUUAAUGUUAUAUAUAGUAUAGGGUGUAUUUUACACUUUUAAAAUACUAGGAGGUCAAAUUUAACAAUUAUACUUUUAAUUCAAUUAAAUUGUAAACCUAAACUUUUAUGGAUUUAUUAAACCUCUUUUAAUUAUACACCUUAAUUAAUUAAUAAAACCAUAAGGGUGUGAUAUGAACUUUUCAAAACAUCACUAGGGUUUUAGAAUUUAACAUUCCUAAAUUAAACUUUUAAUCAACUUUUAAAUUCCAAAACUUGAGGGCAAGUUUUGAAACAUUUCAAAACAUUUAGGUUUAGAAUUUAAAUAUACAUCAAAAUCAGACUUUUAAUCAAAAUUUAAAUUCCAAAACUUGAGGGCAAGUUUUGAAACCUUUUCAAAACAUUGGGGAUCAAAUAACAAAUAAUCUAAAUUAACAUUUUAUCACAUAAUUAUCCAUAUUUGAUUUAUUUAUUAAUUUCUUGCAAAACAAUUUACCAAUUUAAUAAAAAUAAUUAAUCAAUUAUCACAUAAGGAAAUAAAUAUUUUAUUAAUUGAUAAAUAUCUUCAAUUAGAUCAAGAAUGUACUCAUAUAUAUCAUAAAAUCAGAUUUAUAUUGAUCUAAUAUGAUAAAGGAAUGUAUCUCAAAGAUAAACAACAAAAAAUCCCAAUAUUUGCCCUUUCUGACGCUUGGACUCGCCGAGUACCCCAAUGGACUCGCCGAUUCGAGCCUACUCGCCGAGGCCACUAUGGGACUCGCCGAGAUCAUCAGGCAGUUUCACAAAAAUCGAAUUUUUCCAACUUGAAUAAACAUACAAGGCAUCAAUACAAUAGAAACCAAUCAAGUCUCUGAUACCACUGAUGGGUUUUGGUCAUAAGAACAUCCAAUGUGCUCAUACAAACCCUAAUGCUUGGAUCUAGGUUUCUCUAUUGUACAUGCAAGUUAUCCAAGACUACAAACCCUAAUUCUACCAUACAAGUAAUCAUAUUAACAUAAGAAUGGGUUUAAGAUAUUACAUUGAUUGUUAUGUAGCAAUAACAAUCACAAUUCCUCUUGUAAUGACUUUAGAAAGCUUAGAGUCACAAAUGUCACUCCUCUAAUGGUUCACAAACACUAAGAGCAAGAGGAUGAAGAGCAGAAGAGAAGGAGGCUGCCCAAAACAUGUGGAAACCCUAGAAGAUAGCUUGUCCACGUUUUUUGGGCAUAAGGGCUCUAUAUAUAGUGAGGCUAUUAGGGUUAUCUAACAAGGAAACCCUAAUUUGGAUGCUUAAGCCCUAAGCAACCCAUGGACUCCUUUCCUUUAAGGCCUUGGACGAUUUCUAAUGGGUUUCCCCAUAUAAUUCGUCCAACCUUAUAAUAUAAGGCAAUCCAUGGCCCAAUUGCAAUUAUGUUAUAAUUACAAUUCUAGUCCCUUAAGUUUAAUUAAUCUCUUUUAGUCACAAAAUUAAUUCUUAUUAAUUCUUGACUAAUAUUAAUUAAACAAUAUAAUUUCUCCUUUAAUAUAUUAUUCUCAUAAUAUAUUAGUAAAUCAUAUUCAAUUUUUUCUCUCGAUAAUUCAUCCUAUCAAGUUGCUUUGGUGAAGGCAACCCAAAAGGACCAUGCACCAUCGGGUCAAGUACAUAUCAAAAUAGUUGUGGACUUAGACACUAAUCCAACACGACCAAGUCAUAGCCUCGACAGCCGAGGCUCCCAACGAGUCACCCACGGACUCCCACCAAUCCCUAGCUCGAUCUCGUAAACACCCUGCUUCAAACCUCACCUUCGACCCCUCAGGGCAGAAGCUAAUCAUCUGUGCAGACUCAAUGUCUGUAAUCCAUCGUCUGGAAGCUAUGGGGUCCUUUGCCCCAUGAAAAUCCGGCGCACCACUGCCCCGGAAGUCCUUGAAGGACAGUGUGCGAGAUCCCGACUGGCCAGAUGCCAUGUCGCUCCUGAGUGCCCUGAGGCGAUCCUCCAUCAACUCCAAUAUCCCUUCCUUGAUCAACCCGAAGAUAAUGGGGGUCGACUCAAGGAUGCCUCUGGUGAUCUCUGACGCGAUGAACUCGCGUAGCCCCUCAUCUACUGGCUCGGAACCUGAUCCCGAACCCGAUCCCUCUCCUGAACUGCCAACUGCUGGCCUCGAGCAUAGUACCACCAUUAUGAAAUACAAAAAUAAUAAUUGUUAGCAAUACUGACACCUCUGGAGGGAUCACACUUACUAGAAGUUCCCUGGUCUUAUCUUGGCCUUCUUUAGUUCGGAUACGGAUCCUCUACUUUCAGUAGUACGGGCCCAUACUACCUUCCACAUCUAUCUGUACCUUUUCCAAGGACUGCCUUGACUCCACCAGGUCCCUUUCACUACUGCUGAUCACUGCUAUACUCAUCCUAGGCUUGCCCCAGGAAAUCUCUAACUCCACCCUACCCGGUCCUCAGCUGCUGAAGGCCUCCUUGUAAUUUCAAUUAGUCAUUACCUGAAUACCAUCACAUGUGGUGAGGCUCAAAUAAUCCUUCAAGUAACAGACUCGGCUCUACACGGUUAAACUCAGACAAAAGUCGCGCAGUAAGGCCAAAUCUAGCACUCUAAGAUUAUCCAACCCUGAUCACAUGGGACGUGACGUAUUCAUCUAAUGUCUAACUCCCAUCACUCAGAGUCCCCAUGAAGCACAAAGCAAGCAGCAUUCAGACACAAGAAAACAAUCUCAAGGAAAUUCGUCCUCAUAGAGGAAAGCUGUACUAGCAUACAAUGCUAAACUCAUACUAUCAGGCAUAACCCUAACAGACUAUCCUACUGCUGUCUAUUGAAUUCUAGCAUGCAAUUUUCAUACACUGAAGCACAUAAGGCAGGCACAUAAGGCAUCACUCCUAGAUCCUUAGUCCUAUUCUAGCAUGUUGUUCUACAGAAACUAAUAAACCUAACAUAAGCUGGUAUGGGUACUUUUGGGAAUACUUACUUGAGCUCAGCUGGUCGCUCACAUCACACACUUCGUUCCUUCUUAAAACUCUUUACUUAGCUUUUUGGAAAAAUAUUUUCUUUUUUAAAAUCUUUUAAAUCCCUUGAUUUGAGUUCAGACACCCCCAAAGGCAUGUCUAAAUCCCUCAAACCAGGGCUCUGAUACCAACUUGUAACAUCCCAAAAAUAGGAGACAAAAAUUUCUUUUUUAAAAUAUACAAUUUGCAAAACAUUAGAAAUAAAACAUUCAUGGAUCAUAUCAUUUCAUAAAAGAUGUUGCUUGUCUGGAAACCAUUUCAUAAAACAUAAUACUAUCAGAGUACAAAACCCCAGGAGGAUCCCAUAGUGCGGAAUACAAAGCAUGUGCGUGAUGUACCGCUACCGUGCCGGCUCCUUCCCUUUCGAAGAAGAGGUACCUGAAACCAAAACUGAAAACUGUAAGCACGAAGCUUAGUGAGUUCCCCCAUCUUACCACAUACCACACAAUCACAUAUCAUACACACUGUCGGGCAAUUCUGGGUUGCCCGACCUACCCGGUACGACUAUUCUGGGGUGCUGACUACCCAUGUCAAGCCAUUCUGGGGUGCUGACUACCCAUCGGUUCUAACAACCGAUCCUCAGGGACUAUUUCACCCCCUACUGCUACUAUCACAUAUAUCAUAACAUAACCUAUUAUCAGACAUAUCUAGGUUGUCCGAUCUACCCUUCGGUCCUAAUGACCAAACUUGGGGACUAUUCCCCUCCUACUACCACUAUCACAUAUAACAUAACAUGCCAGCAUAUAAACAUAUCAUCACAUACUGUCAGACGUAUUUGGGGUGUCUGACUACCCUUCGGUCCUAACAACCGAACUCUACUACUAUCACAUACAACAUACCAAGCUAGCAUAUAACAUAUCAGGUAGUAGCAAACCUAGAUGAUAUCACAUAGGCAAUCAUCUAAGAUACAACUCCUACUGGUGGGCCGGCAUUGUGGCCGUAGACCCACCGCUACUGGAAGGUAACUCACCUCAAAGUAGCUGCUGAUCUGCGUGGGAAUUUACUGACUUCUGCUGCUGCUGUCCCGGAAGUCCUCCGGAUAAAAUCCCCACAAAACACCCAGUCAAAUACUGCUAACCGUCCUCAUGGUAAAAUGACCAUUUACCCCUGACCGAGCCAAGAGUCAAAGUCAAAGUCAACUUCCAGUUGACCCGACUCGCCGAGUUGGCCUGCCAACUCGCCGAGUCCCUAUCCUUUUGUCUGACCAUAACCCCGUCUCUACUCGUCGAGUUAGGCAUUGACUCGAUGAGUUUUCCUUUUAAUCCAAUGUCCAAUAGUCCUUCAUCCUACUCGUCGAUUUGUAUGAACAACUCGCCGAGUUCAUCGUCAUCCGAAGAACAUGCUAUGCUGAGACUCACCGAGUUGUAUGAAAAAAUCACCGAGUCUUUUCUUGAGGCAAGAAGAUUGCCUUGGACUCGCCGAGUCAGGGCAUUGACUCGCUGAGUUCCUUUAUGGGUGAGUCUGGCUUCCGACUCACUGAGUCACACCCCAUGACUCACUACUCCACUCCGCAAACACAAAAGGGGAAACUCGGGGACUCGCGACUCGACUCACCGAGUCCGAUGAACGACUCGCCGAGUCUAUCGCAUGCAAACACUAAAUAUUUGAUUUUGCUUGGAUCCAACUCAUGUCAUACAUAGAUCUAGGUUUCUAGGGCCUAGUUAACACGUAAAGUUUCCAACAUUACGUGUAAAUAAACACCAAUGAAGGUUUUAGGGCUCAAAAUGCACUAAAAGAGUAGAUCUAGGGCUUUCAUGCAAUAUGGCUCCAUAAAGGCAGUAGAUCUGAGCUCCUGGAGCUCAAUCAUGCCUAGAUCUAAGGGUUAAUCAACUUAUUACAAACCCUAAUUCAUAAUCAAGCUUGGAAAUGGCUCAAGAAGGACUUUAAUGGAGCUAUAAAGGUCUACAAGCAUGAAAACAGAGGGAAACUGAGUUAUACCUCAAGGGAAUCACUUGAAAUAACACCAAGAUGUCUGGCCUCCUUCUUCUCUUCUUGAUCUACUCUUCUCUUCUCUCAAAAUCUUCAAGAAACACACCAAAACACUUCAAUCUCUCAAGGAAUAAGGGUUUGGACGGUGUUGGGAGCUCUGAGGGUGAAGGGGGCGAGGUUGGGGCGCAAUAGGUUGGUUUAAAUAGGGUGCAAACCCUUGAAAUUUAGGGUUUCAUCAGACAGCGGGUACUCGCCGAGUCCAGAAUGUGGACUCGCCGAUUCGCCAACUUAAGUGUGCUCCCAAACCCAUCUCUACUCGGCGAGUCGGGCCUACAACUCGCUAAGUCCAAGGCCAAAAUGCAAAAUACAUAAAUAAAUUUUUAUGUACCAGGAACCAGGUGCUACAGUUUCUAAUGGUAGCAUCGAGAUAAUCAAGGAAGAAAGUUUGUAUUUGGGCGGUCAGUCUAGGAAAAUUAAGCUUGGUAAAGCUCAGCAUGGGUGGUUUGUUAGGGAGUCGGAAAACCACGAGACUGUAGAUUUUAGAUAGGGUAGUUGUGAUCAUGUUGCAAGGAAUUCAUUCAUUAUCGGGUUUUAGAACCCUGUGAGGGAUGGUUUUGGUUGCCUUGGAAUGGCUAGGUUAUCCUCAGGAUUGUAGUCAUGCCAUCCAAGUUGUUUGGCGUGUAAGGAAUGGUAAGGAAUGAUUUCGAGGACGAAAUCUAAUUUAAGUGGGGGAGAGUUGUAACACCCCGUUUCGAAGACAAACUCUAAAAUUCGAAGAUGUGUUUUAAGUAUUAUUUUAUUCCGAUAAGUAUAUAUUUAAAUAAAGAGUAAAUUAUAGACCAAAGUUGAAAAGGUUUAGUAGAGGAGGGGCCAUUCGAUAACAUAAGGACUUCAGUUGAAAAUAAUUUAUAGAGGGAGGGGCUGCAUGGUAAUUAUUGGGACUUAAGUUGAAGGGAUUUUGGAUGGCUGGGGUAAAAAGGGUAAAUUAUGGACUUAGUUUGAAAGAAAAAUGGAAAUGAGGGACUAAUUCCAUCAUUAUGGAAAUAAGUUUAUGGGGGAUGGGGUAUAUAACCUGUCACCCCCGUCCAAACCCUAACCCUACCUUAAAAUCACCCGCCGCCAACAUUAUGUCUCCCACUCCCUCUGGCUGCCCCACCAUUCACCUAGUCGUUCUCCGACCAGUUAGUAGCCACCAAGUGACCACCCGACUUCCUUCCUUUCCGAACUGUCGAAGCUCCAUUCAACUAUCACCAUCAGUCGACGACCAUGUCGCCAUACAGCCUUGUCGCUGUUCCAUUGCUGGUUACGACGAAGACCACCAGCGAGUGUCCGCCCCGCUGUCGCUGCUGCUGUCAUUCGUGGUCACCACGUUCCUUCUCUAUUCUUAUGCCGAGUCAUCGUACCAAUUGAAGAAGAAGUCGUUAUUGCCGCCAAGGAUGCUGGAUGUAGGCGCAACUGUUUCUUCCGUUUGUGCCCCGUCGUCCACCCAUAUGUAUGUGUGUUGACGUGUUGUUGAGUAGAAGAUCAAGAGAAACCACCAUCACCACCAUGUGGCUGUCAUCGCAAACCGCUACUGUUGCCGCCUUCCCAUGUCGCUGCUGCCACCGUACGCCACAAGGUGGGUGGCUGGGUCCAUUUGCAAACAACAAAAUGUGUGUGGAUUUAUACUAUGAGGGUGUGUGUGUGUGUUUUGUUUGGCCGGGAAAACAAGAAAGCCACCACCACCAGUGUGAGGUGGUGGUUGCCACCUUGUACCACCACAAGGGUGGCUGUGUGUGUAUUUAUUUUAUUGUGUGUGUGUGUUUAUUUUGGGACGUUGCGUUGUAAAAUUGUAAUUGGGGAUAGAAUAAUCAAAAGAAAAAUCAUAACCACCAUCGUAAGGUGGUGGUUGCCGCCACCAGCUGCCGUGUCGGGUGGCAGUGUGAUAUUGCUUGUGUUUAGUCUGCUUUUGGGAUGUUUGGACAUAUUAGGUCUAGAAGCAUAACCACCACUAUAAGGUGGUGGCCGCCUCCGUGAGCCGCAAUUGACCACCACCACCCGAGGUAAUAGUGGGUGGUGCCUGACUUAAUUAACAGUUAAUUAACCUAAAAGUUUAACAAAUGGACUAAUUGGGAUGUGAUUGGAUUGGAAAACCAAAUUAGGGUUUAGAAAACCCUAAUUUCGUAUAUGUUAAUUUGGAAUUGUCGGGACUCACAAGUUUAGACCAUUGGAAUAGGAAUCAUGAAUUAAUCUCGACCACAUUGUAAGUUGACCUGGUAGAGUGAUAGGCUUAAUGGAUUAAGUCCUUAAUGGGUUAAGUAAGAAACACUUAGCCCUAAUCGUCAUUUUAUGUGAAAAUGCUAAUUUCACUUGGGCCUUUUCAAUGGGGCUUUGGUGAUUGGGCUUGUGGUGGGCCAUCCAAGAACAAGCAUAUGGACUAGAAUAUUUGGAUUGGCUUUAGAGUAAGGCCUAUGUGAGGGGUUUGGGCCCAAUUUGGAAAAUUUUGCCAUAACUGGGCCUUGGUGAUUAUGAGAUGUUGGACCAUUGGAAAACUAAAAAUUUGGGCUAGAAUAAAUGGUUGGGCCUUAGGGUAAGACCAUGUAAAGGUUUAGGCCCAAUUUGGAGAAUUGGGUCAUAUGUUAGGAUUUGAUUCAUAGUUUGACCUUUCGGCCUUUGGAUUGGGCCUUGAGCUUGAAUCAAGCUAAGAUGGGGGUAAGGUAGUCUUUUACCCUAAUCAUGGACUUAUGGUUAUGUGUUGGAACCCAAUUAUUAAUUGGGUGUUGUGUUGAUGUUGACAGUUCGAGAAUCUUUCAUUCAACACUUAGGGUAUUGUCUGCAGGAGUUCAGCAGUGCGAGGUAAGUUACCUUCCAAUAGAAGUGGGUCUAAGGCACCAAGCCCAGCUCACUAAUAAGAGUUAUAGUAGAGAUGAUUGUCUUUGUGAUAACUAUCUGGUACCUCGCUAUCUGUUAUGUUUAUUUACUAAUAUGCUUUGAUGCUAUCUGAUAUGUGAUAGGAGGGGUAGGAUAGACCGCAAUACCGGUCAAUUGGGCCUAAGGGGUAUGCCAACACCCAAAUAAGCUAGGCAGUAUAUGAUUAUAUGUUUAUGCACUUGGAUGUUAUGCGGUAGAGUAGGGGGUGAAAUAGUCCCUGGUACCAGUCGAAAGGACCGAAGGGGUAGGACAACACCCUAAUAUGCUAGGCUAGGUACCGGUCGAUAGGACCGAAAGGGUAGGCCAACAGCCUGAUAUGCUAGGCAGUUACUGGUUGAAAGAGACCGAAGGGGUAGUCCAGUACCCGAAUAUGUUUAAACAAUAUGUAUGUUAUAUGGUAUGUGGUAUGAUGGGGGAAUUCACUAAGCUUUAUGCUUAUGGUUUUUAGUUUUGGGUUCAGGUACCCCGUUUUCAAAUGAAAGGAGUCGGCUAGAUAGCAACAUCACACUAUGUUUUCCGUGCAUGAGAUCUUUGGGAUUACACUCUGAUAUUAUUUUAUGAUAACAUGCUUUUAUUAUUGACACUUUGAUUUUGACAUGGGAUGUUAUUAUGGAUGUUUUUUUUACCGUUGGUUUAUAAUAACUUAAUUAAAAUGAAAAUUUUGGUCUUGAAUAUUGGGAUGUUACAGUAGAUCUGAUUCCCAAUGGUUGCAAACCCACGUAAAGUUACUAAAGUUACAUCCAUGCAUGACACAAAGAGGCUAAAGCACUCCAAGAAGUCUUAAUAAGGGACAUAAAGCAUGAAGGAGGCCUACAACUAAAUAAAGCUUGCAACUUUAAGUCCAAUUGAGGCCAUGAGACAUCUAGAUUAGAAGAGAUAACUCCAUGAAAUAUUCAACCCACGAACAAUCCCAAAAACGAGCCAGAAAUGACAAUAAACUUCCAAGAAAGAGAUCUAAGCAACAAAUGAGCAAGGUGGCGACUUUAUACUUCAAAAUCGAUGCAACAUCAGAUUUGGUUUUGGAUCUAAAGCCUUCCUUUCAAUCAAACCACUUCAAACCUCAAGCUCUGUCUAAACAACUCCAAGAAGUCACUCUAUAAGCUCUCUCACACACACAAAUAUGGGAAAGGAUGCACAAACUAGGGUUUUAUGUACAGAGGAGGCAGAUAAGGAGGCCAACCAAAGGGUAUAAGGCCUUAAAUAGAGUGCAACACUCUAAAAAUUAGUGUUUCUUAAUCAGCCACCAACUCACCGAGUUUUCCCUUACCAAAUCGUCGAGUUGGUCCGAAAGUAUGUGCGGCCCAAAAGUCUUCAACACGUCAAGUUGAGGCCAUGAACUCGAUGAGUUCCAAGGGGAAAUUACCUUUUAAGAAAUAAAUCUGAUACCUGGAAGUUUGGAUGUUACAACUCCCCCCCCCCCCCCCGCGGCGGNACCCCCCCCCCCCCCCCACUUGAGCUAGGCUUCGUCCUCGAAGCCUGCUGCAAGGAACAAAUCUGGAUAAUGCUCCUGUAUCUCAGCCUCCGGAUCCCAGGUCCACUCGGAUCCCCUCCGAUGUUGCCACUGUACCUUUACUAAAGGUACAACCUUGCUAAGCUAAAUAGGGUACAAACUCUUGAAAAUUAGGGUUUUCCUUUACAUCGCCUACUUGUUGAGUUGGGGCCUUCCGACUCGUCGAGUAGGAUCUAAAUCUCGCGUCCUUAUAAGUGAUCACUACUUGACGACUUGGAGCUCCCCAACUCGUCGAGUCUUAGCACAAAACCUUAACAACUUAGAGAAUUAAAUGAUACCUAGAACAGGUGUUAUAAAUCUCCCCCACUUGAACUAGACUUCGUCCUCGAAGUCUGCUGAAGCAAAUAAGUCCGGGUAGUGAUCUCGCAUCUCAUCCUUUGGCUCCCAUUUCCAAUCGGAGCCCCUUCGGUGCUGCCAUUGCACCUUCACUAAACUCACCUCCUUGUUUCGAAGAACCUUGGUCUUCCUAUCCAAAAUCGCAACAGGCGUCUCAAUGUAGUUCAGGAUCUCGUCCACCUGAAUGUCAUCUAGAGAAACAACCACGGCCUCAUAUGUGACACACUUCCAAAGCUGAGACACAUGAAAAGUGUUGUGUAUCUGGCUAAGCUCGUCCAACAGAUCCAAGCGAUAGGCCUCCUUGCCUACCCGGGCAGUAAUUCUGAACGAGCCAAUAUAUCGUGGACCCAACUUGCCUGUCUUCCGAAACAUGGUGACUCUCUUCCAUGGCGACACUUUUAGUAACACAAAGUCCCCCACCUAGAACUCAAGAUCUGAUCGCUGCCCGUCGACAUAGCUUUUAUGAUGGCUCUAUGCGACUCGUAGCCAGUCGCCCACCUGCUGAAUCAACCCGGUAGUAUUGAGCACCACUUUGGUGCUUUCCAUGACCCAGUGCCCUGCCUCACCCCAAUAAAUAGUGGUCCUACGCCUCUGACCAUACAACAUCUUGAACAGUGGUCGGUCGAUACUAGCAUGAUAACUAUUGUUAUAUGAAAACUCUGCUAGUGGGAUGUAUGUAUCCCAACUACGUCCAAAAUCCAACAUGCAUGCCCGAAGCAUAUCCUCGAGUGUUUGGAUCGUCCUCCUGCUUUGGCCAUCUGUCUGGGGGUGGUAUGCCAUGCUAAAAUGCAACUGAGUUCCUAGUUCCUCAUGGAACUUCUUCUAGAAUCUAGAUGUGAAUCGAACAUCCCGGUCAGAGACUACUGACACUGGCACCCCGUGCCUAACCACCACCUCUCGCACGUAAAUAUCCGCUAAUUUCUCCAUGGAGAUGGUUUCAGAGAUCAGAAUGAAGUGGGCACUCUUCGUGGAUGUCACAACUAGAAAUUUUGUGUCUUGUAAUCACUACACUCAAGUAAAAUGUAGAAUCAAAAACUUAAGAGCAUGUAUGAUGCUUACUCUAUGACAACAAAAAUUUCAAUCCAAUACACCAUGCAAGCACUUCGAAUAGUCAACAAGCAAUUGGAAACCCUAGAAGUUCUUGUUAGGUCCAUUUUGGGCUAGGACUUCCUUAUUAGACUCAAUGGACCAAUAAGCUUCCAAUUUGACUAUCAUGGGAUUAAAACCUUUAAAUGGGCUCUAAUUGGACCCACAUUCAUUUAUUUCAACUUUUUGGGCCAUAUUGGGCCUCGAAUGAAAUAAAUUAAAUAUUAUGAACCAUAAUUAACCUAAACUAGCCCAACUAAGUAUAAAAAUCACACUUAUAUUUUAUAGGGCCAACAAUCAUCAAACCUAACUCUAGUAUGGGCUUAGGGGCAAUAAAGCCCAAAAAUCUUUUCCUUCUCUUCAAAUUUCGGACCAAGCCCAUGAAGAAGGGAGAGUUGACUUUCAUAGCCACCUCAUUUUUGCAUGUUGGUUCUCCAUGCAACCUAUCCCAUACUUCCAAGCACAUGUCACCUCAAGAUCUACUUCUUCUCCCUCUCUCUCAUUCUCGGCCGAACACACACACAUACACUCACAAAAAUUCAUUUCAUCCUCUCUAAGUUUUGAAGAACAUCUCCUCCCUCCUUCUUCUAAAUUUUCGAGAUUUAAGGUCAUUCCAAGGAGAUUUUUCACAAGGACUACCAUCCAAGGUAAGUUUAUACUUAAAUCUAUGAUCUAGGUUCCUUGAUUUAUCAAACAUCUCAUCUUAACUCAUAAAAAUUUAUGGUCUAACUCCCUAGAACCAUCUAAGUCCGAAAAUCUCCUCAAGAAGUUGCUAGGGCCGAAAACAACAUCAAACUUCUUCCAUUCUCCUCCAAAACCGAAACCACACCCAAAGGUGAGCUUCAUACCCCCUAUUUUUCGAUUUUUAUAAGUUUUGUGGGGGGGGGGAAUCCAAGCAAAUGUGUAUAUCUAUGAGUAUAUGUAUGCUUUUUAUGAUUUCUAUGUUUGUUUACAUGUUCUUAUGUGAUUAUGGUGUUGAAACUAGUCAAAAAGUCCUUAAAAUCGAGAUUUGCAUUAGGAUGUAUGAAACAAGUGUUAAACAUAUUAUUACACACAAAUCAUUUCUAGAAAAAUAACCAAGUUGGUUAAUAUGAACUCAUUGGGCUAAAAAUCCCAUUUUUGGACUCAAAAUGUUAAAAAUAUAAGGUUAAAGGGCCCAAAAUGACAAAAUACAAAUUCUGAUGGAUGAAAUGAGUCAAAACAGUUUCAAUAAGGUAUUUUUCUGGAAAUAUUCUCUUUGAAGGAUUAAAUGUGAAAUUUUUAAGCAUAAUGGGCCAAAAAUGAAUUUUUCGGCCCAAUAAAGCCCAAUAUGCGAGAUUUUCAAAUUAGAGGGGCUGAAACUGUGAUUUUCUGUAAAACAGGGGACUACUAGUGCUCCAAGUCCAUUUCAAGGGUUAAAAAUGCUUUUCAUAUUUAAAAGGGACCAAAAAUGCAAAAAUUUUCUAUUUUGGGCCAAAAGUGUAAAAACUGCGAACAUAAGGGUUUCAGCCGAGAAAAAUUUCAUUUGGUGGACUAAAACUGUUUUUCAAAUAACUUUGAGCUGAAAAAUAACUUUUCUACAAAUUUUGAUACUAAAGUGUCAAGAAAAAUGGUUUGAGGACUAAAAUAGAAAUUUAUUUUAUACAAAGGGUUAAAUGUGUAAAUUAUACAAAAGAAAGGGGCUGCAAUAAUGAAACAUCCUAACAUUUUAAACAAUAAAUCCGUCAUGAUGAAAUACUAGCACCUCGACUAUCGGCAAAUUAUAAUACACGUUAAACACCAAAAAUCGUUAUCAAACGAAUUGAUUCGGUCUCGAAUCAAUAAUGAAUCCGAAAUUACUAACACGACGAAACUUCAAUACACACGCGGAAAUUUCGGGAAGUCAAUACACACGUGAGAAUACACCAGACGUCGAUACACCGUCUUUGGGCCCAAAAGUUUCAAAUCGUGUUUGUUGGGCCUAGCUAGCCCAAUGGCAUGAUCUUUAGGCCCGAAGGAAACUCGCUUACAUGUAGUUGGGUCUUAUAUGACCUAAUUUCGUGUAAAAGGACUUUUACAGGCUUUGUGCUGUUGGACCCCAAGGGCCCUCUGGUGCUGCUAGUAAAGUCGAGAAUUCACCAAAUGCGAGUCGGGCUAAGGGCCCUUCGCAUUCACGAUAGCCUUGAACGACUUACGGAAAAUAUCGGGGCUUCGCACCCUCUUUUCCUCCUCGGUUGUGGGGCUACAUGAAGUCCGGGUGUUUGGAUUAAGUGAAUAGUGCGAGCGACGCCUAAGGGAUCGUUUGUAUGGUUGUAAACUAGUCAUUUUCAUUAAUGUGUGUUUAUAACAAUUCACAAUCCAUAAUUAAUCCAACGUCACCGGGACUCAACGAAUACACAUGUCGUAACGAAAUAACAAGACAUAAAUCAUUUGAUGCAAAGUAUUAGGAAAACAUCGGGUUUUCCUAGGGUUUUCAAUUAAUACACCUACGAGUUACAUACCGAGUUUUAAAAAUUGUACUUUUACAUUUAUAGAAACAAACAAGCAUACUUACGGAUCUUCACAAUUUUUAUACUAAGUUCUUUUCAGAAAAUAUCGGAUUUUCUGGUGAUUUUCAAAACAAUACAAACCAGUAUAUUUCAAACAUUACUUAUGAACUCACCAACAUUUCAUAUGUUGACGUUUUUCAAAAUACUUGUAUUCUCAGGUAACAGGUAAACCGAAAAGGAAAAAUAUACUCAGUAACGUCUUGCUGUUGUUUUAAUUAGUACCGAACAAUUUACUUUUGGGCAUGUAAUAUUAUGGAUCAAUGUAUUGAAUGCAAACGCUACCAGUUGUAAUAUUCCAAUGCUUGGUAUUGUAUGAUGUUAUGUUUCAUGUACAUUCAUUGUGAUGGUAUUCAAUUGAGUCACAAUAGCCCUCGGAUGUUUCCGCCGUCCGGUUCGGGGGUGUGACAGUCGAUCUAUCCACAAUGACCCAUAUGGCAUCCACACCCCUAGUUGUCCUUGGUAACUUCAUGAUGAAGUCCAUGGUGAUCUCCUCCCACUUCCACAUGGGAAUGGGUAACGGCUGGUGUUGGGUUUUAUACAUAGCAAUUAAUCCUAUGUGUACAUGCAACCCUAAUAUAAGGAUCUAUGUUUUCACUAUUAGACAUACAAGCAUUGGACACAAAAGCUAGAAACCCUAGGAGGCACAUAUAAUUUUCGAAAUCAACAUAUAAUUAGGGUUAGGAUACAUACCUUUAUUGUUAUAUUGUAAUAAAAUGUCGCGCCUCUAAUGACUCACAAACAAACCUAGCAACCAAGGAUUACUAUGAAGAGAGAGAGAGAGAGAAGGGAAGUGAAAAUUUUGGCUCUUAGCCUUUCUUGGAGUCCCUUGAACGAAAUCUAACCCUAUAAGGGUUUAUAUAGGUGAUAAGGAAGGUUUAGGAUAAGGCAAGUGUAUCUUAGAUAACCCUAAUCCCUUAACUUCCUCCCUAAGGCUUCCAAGGCACCCUUAGAGCCCAUGAAAACCCUAGGACACUCUAGAUUUCGUUCCCCGCCUCUAAGGGAGGUUCUAGAAUGCUCAAUGCUCAAUUUUGAAUAUUGUCACCUUUAGUUGCUACAGUAUCAAUUAAUUCCUUUAAUCCUAAAGUUAAUUACAAAUUAAUUUCUGAGUAAAUAUUAAUUAAACAAUAUGAUUUCUAAUUAAUAUAUUAUAUCCAUAAUACAUUAAUCAAUCAUUUAUCUUGAUCUCAAAUUAAUUUAUUAACCAAGUAAUAAAUUAAUAAAUCAUUCUUCUCUCUCCAACAGUUAUCCUAUUCAAUUGCCAGGUUUGAAGGCAACCCAAAAGGACAUUUCUACUAUCAAUUCACAUACAUACCAACUAUAGUUAUGGGCUUAGACACUUAAUCCAAUAGUCUCACACUUGGAUAAUUCUAAUAACUAUAGUUGCAAGUAUAACUUUAAAAAUUGGCCAACAAAUUUUAGCUACCAAAAGUCGUUGUCGAACUCUGACCUAGUCAGUGAUGUGUCCUUAGAUAAGGGAUCAAAUAUUCCUCCAUUAUAGAUAUCGUAUAGACAUGAGACAUGGAUUAAAAUAAUUCUCUCUGUCUAUGUGUUGUUUCCCGAUUUCCGAUUUAUGACAACGGACAACAAACUACAAUUGAACACAUCAACUUAGUCCAGGCAUGGCCAAGCACUUAGGGUGUUAUCACUAAAUAAUCGAGGGGCCCACAUAUAUCGCUUUUUCCCUCUUAGGGUAAAAGGAAUGGAUAAACUUCGACUCAAAUGCUCGCUUGUACUUACUCAUCAAAUCACACACAACAAUAUGUUUUAAAACACCAAGUUACAAGUGCGUUUACAUAUUAUCAAUGUGCAACCGACUUGUAAAUUACAACUCACACGUCUUGGUUUCAAGAACGUAAGAUAUUAUCAUCUCACUAAUCACUCGUAAUAAAAUCCAUGAAGUGAUCAAGUAGUGUGGGUUUAAUCCAAUACUCAAAUCUUAUUUCCAGAGUACUCAUGAACACUGCAACGGACUUUUGCUAUGUCUAAAUGCUUUAGACAAUCUACAGUCGGAUUCAUGAUAGUCUAGCUUCAAUACCUACUUGCAAAGUAUUUAUCGACUAUGGAUGGUUUGAAUAAUCUUAAUAUUCAGGAAGUCAAAACAUGCAAAGUGAAACACAGGAAUAAUACUAAUCAUAUAUGGCCCCAAACUUUUGAGUAUAAAUAAAACACAUUUAUUUAAUCACCAUAUUGAUUACUUAUUAUUCAUUGUAUAAUGUUUCGGAUAAUCAACUUAUUACUUGAAUUAUAAUAACAGUUGUUCCAUGCUCCAAGCAUGCACACUAUGUUUACCUAUGGUCCUUACUUUGUGAAAUAGAUCAAUUGAAAACAUUUCCAGUGAUGCUCAUUUCACAAUCCCUAAUGCUCAUUUCACAAUUCCUAAUCCUUAACACUAGUGUAAGAAUACCAAAUUCUUGCCACUAUUAAAAUAUGUUUGAUUCUAACAUUUUAUGCAACGAUCCUUUCAUAAUGUCAUAGAGCCAAAGUCACCAAGACUUUGCCAAUGAAAUUACAAAUUUAUCUAUUAGAGAUUCUUACAAGACAAUUUCAUAGAUACGAAGUCUCACAUUCAAAGUACAUUCCUUUGUACAUCCUUCUUGCAUAAAAGUUUCUAAUCUAGACAUAAAUUCUUAACGUCCAACUCCCAAUAUGGAGACAUUUCCAUAUUUGCCACAUGACAUCUCAUUCUAAAUAGAGUCUUAUUUAUUCAUAAUAAUGUCAAUAUGGUCCAUUCGUUACUAUACUUCCAACUGCCCACAAGUGACCAAUCCUUGGCUAACCUUACAAUAUCCUUGACAGUUGUUUAAUUAAUUUAGUCAAAUCCGGUUCUAGUCCUUUUUCCCUUUUAAUGCCCUAGGCAUUUGGAAAAUUUAGAACGUUCGGGUAUUACAUCAUAUGCAAUCGAUCUUAUACCCAAAGCGUAUGGGACACGAUUCAUAGUAAAAAACGUGAUACUUUACCAGUUUCUUGCUAUAAUAUGUUGGAUUAGUGUCUAAGUCCAUAACUAUUUUGGUAUGUACUUGACCCGAUGGUGCAUGGUCCUUUUGGGUUGCCUUCAGCAAAGAAACUUGAUAGGAUGAAUAAUGAGGAGAAAGGAUUAAAUAUGAUUUAUUAAUAUAUUAUGAGAAUAAUAUAUUAAAGGAGAAAUCAUAUUGUUUAAUUAAUAUUAGUCAAGAAUUAAUGAGAAUUAAGUUUGUGGCUAAAAGAGAUUAAUUAAACUUAAGGGACUUGAACUGUCAAUUGUAUGAUAGUUGAAUAUUGAGCUAAUGGAAUCCAUAAUUAAAGGGGUGGACGAAUUCUAUGGGGAAACCCAUUAGAAAUCGUCCUAGGCCUNUCCAUGGGUUGCUUAGGGCUUAAGCAUCCAAAUUAGGGUUUCCUUGUUAGAUAACCCUAAUAGUCUCACUAUUUAAAGAACCCUUAUGCCCCAAAAACGUGGUGAACUUGUUUUCUAGGGUUUCCGCACGUUUUGGGCAGCCUCCACUCUCCUUGUUCUUCAUCCUCUUGCUCUUGGUGUUUGUGAACCAUUAGAGGAGUGACAAUUGUCACUCUAAACUUUCUAAAGUCAAUACAAGAAGGAUUAUUGUUAUUGAUACAUAACAAUCAAGGUAUGAUCUAAACCCUAAUUUAUAUGUUAUAUUGGUUAUCAUAUGCUAGAUCUAGGGUUUAUAGUCUUGGAUGAAUUGCAUGUACAAUAGAGAAACCUAGAUCCAAGCAUUAGGGUUUGUAUGACCACAUAGGAUGUUCUUAUGACCAAAACCCAUCAGUGGUAUCAGAGCCAAGAUUGGCUUCUAUUGUAUUGAUGCAUAUUUGGUCGAAAUCAGCACUGAAAAUCGAAUUUUUUUUGCUUCUGAGUGUUUGACUCGCCGAGUCACUUGGUGCACUCGCCGAGUCAGCUGUACUCGACGAGUCCAGGUCCAGACUCGACGAGUCAAAACGUCUGACAGCUCAUAUUCGCGAUUUUCUUCCUGUUUUGGCUUUGGAUAACUACCAUCAACAUGUUUUUGUUAUAAAAUCCGAAUUUUAUCAAUAUUUUGUGAUUAUCCUUACCUAAAUAGAAGAUAAUUGUCAAAAUUUUGAUAAUCACUUGUUUUAUUAGAUAAAGUUUGAUUAUUUGUAAUUUAGAUUUAAAUUAUCUUGUGAAAAUUUUUUAAUUUUUCCCCCUUUAGGUUUUAUAGUUUAAAUUUGAACUUAAAAGUUUUGUUUUAAAAUUUAAAUAGUUGAAACCCUAAUGUUUUGAAAAGGUUUCAAAACUUGCCCUCAAGUUUUGGAAUUUAAAUUUUGAUUAAAAGUUUAAUUUUGAUGUAUAUUAAAAUUCUAAACCCUAAUGUUUUGAAAUGUUUCAAAACUUGUCCUCAAGUUUUGGAAUUUAAAAGUUGAUUAAAAGUUUAAUUUAGGAAUGUUAAAUUCUAAAACCCUAGUGAUGUUUUGAAAAGUUCAUAUCACACCCUUAUGGUUUUAUUAAUUAAUUAAGGUGUAUAAUUAAAAGAGGUUUAAUAAAUCCAUAAAAGUUUUGGUUUACAAAUUAAUUGAAUUAAAAGUAUAAUUGUUAAAUUUGACCACCUAGUAUUUUAAAAGUGUAAANCUGUCACACCCCAAAACCAAGAACGGCGGAAACGUUCUGGGGCGGAGGACGUCAUGUACAGUAUCACAACAAUGUAAAGUAGUAAACAAGCAACAACAUCAUCCAUUGCAUUAAUAAUAGAAUUAUUAUACAAGUGUGUUCUGUCAAAUUUUGAUAAACACUAAAGCAUAAAUCAAAAUGAAAGAUGAGUCUUCAACGAGCUCCAUCUUCCCUAGUCCUUGCAUCGGUACCUGUCUAUGAUGACCUGAGGAUACAAGUAAUUUUGAAAGAGAGUAUCAGCUUUGAAGCUGGUGAGAUCAUAAGUAUUUUAGUGUCUUAAUUUGUUUGUAAAUACUUGUAUGUAUUUGAAUUGUAAGUAUUUGUAUGUAUACGAAUUGUAAGUAUUGAAAAAUGUAAAUGAACUGUAUGUAUUAAAAUGUUUGUAAAACAACUGUAAACGUUUGAAAAGUCCUAGAAAUCCCUAUGAUUCCUAUUAGUAACAAAAGGAGUCUUCUACCAAGACUUUAACUGUUCUCAAUGUAGUCUUCUACUAAGAUUUUACUAUUCUGAAUGUAGUCUUCUACCAAGACCUAACUGUUCUGAAUGUAGUCUUCUACCAAGAGUUAACUGUUCUGAAUGUAGUUUUCUACCAAGACUUAACUGUAUUAGUAUUACCCUUUGGAAUAAGGGCAACUAACAAUGUUAACUGAAGACAUCCGUAGAUGUACAUUUACCUCUGUUGCUAACAGCUGGGUAUAGGAAUAGUCAGUCCCCAAAAGUAUACCUAUAAUGGUAUCAACCGUUGACAUCCGUGGAUGUGCUUUUACCUCUGUAGCUAGCAGAGAUUCUAGGAAUGGUCAAUCCCACAACGUAUCCUUUGGUACUAGGAUAUUAAAUCCAAUCUAUCUCGUCGAUUAUGUGAUUGAAUCACAAGGUAAAGAUAAGAAUGAGGAUUAUAUAACAGAAUCUAUACAUAUAAAAUGUACUAGUAAUUCUUGUAAGUGUACUCAUGUAAAUGUGAUCAUGUGACCAUAUCUAUGUAAUAGUAUGGUAAUGUACUGUAAUGUUCUAGCUGUAGUGUACGUGCUCUCUAUCUAGCAAGUAUAGUAAUGUACUGUAAUGUUCUAGCUGUAGUGUACGUGCUCUCUAUCUAGCAAGUAUAGUAAUGUACUGUAAUGUUCUAGCUGUAGUGUACGUGCUCUCUAUCUAGCAAGUAUAGUAAUGUACUGUAAUGUUCUAGCUGUAGUGUACGUGCUCUCUAUCUAGCAAGUAUAGUAAUGUACUGUAAUGUUCUAGCUGUAGUGUACGUGCUCUCUAUCUAGCAAGUAUAGUAAUGUACUGUAAUGUUCUAGCUGUAGUGUACGUGCUCUCUAUCUAGCAAGUAUAGUAAUGUACUGUAAUGUUCUAGCUGUAGUGUACGUGCUCUCUAUCUAGCAAGUAUAGUAAUGUACUGUAAUGUUCUAGCUGUAGUGUACGUGCUCUCUAUCUAGCAAGUAUAGUAAUGUACUGUAAUGUUCUAGCAAGUAUUGACUCAUGAAUGAACUGACUCAUUGUAUAGUAUCGCGUUCUAGUAAUAGUUCUAGUAUCUUCCUAAACUACCCAUAUGGUAGUUUACUAGUAAUCUAACUGGUACGUAUGGACAUGGAUGUAUACCCUUGCUACCCAAGGGCAUGGGAUGAACUGGAAGGGCCUUUAUGACUAUAUAUGUACAUAUGUUAUAUAACUAAUAUUUAAACGACCUUCGGACGAGUACCCGAUAUCCCACCAGACCACAUCUCAAGCGCGAAAAGGAAAUAGGGUGGAUAGCCUUCCUAAGUCUUUUAAACAUUUCUUAUAUAACUAUACAUAUAGAGGCAUGCAAUUUAUAAUUUAAAAGCAUAAAAUAAGAUUUGUAAAACCUUUGAACAUAAAUAUUUUCUAAGAAAAGACCGACUUGAUGUCGAUCUAUAAAAUGGUUUUGAAGGCAUGGGUUUGAUAAAACAGUUUAGUAUAAAGAACAUUUGUUUGAAACACAAUUGUAAAUAAGUUUGAAAUGUAAUAUACAGAGUAAAAUGUACAGUGUAAUAAGGAGUUUUUAAACACAUAAAGUGUUUAUGAAAAACAUUUGAAGGAAACUGUUUGGUAAAACGGCUAAUGAGUAGCCAAUCAUUUGAAUGCUGCUUAUUAAUCACAUGUGAUUGAUAUAAUAAUUAGCAUAAUUCUACUUGUAUCCCCCCCCCAUAAAACAUUUAAAAACAGUUUAAAACAUUGAUUAAGGGGUAUGAACUCACCUGUAGUGAGUGGUUCUGAUGAAAAUGUUGGAUCAGUUGCUAAGUAUCAAGUGGUGACUUGAGUACACACGCGAAUCCUAUUUAGCAUAUAUUGACACAUAUAUGAAUAUAAUUAGUGUUAUGAACAACUAAUUAAUGAAUUGGGACCACCUUAGGGACUAGUGAACACUUAUAUUGAAGUGUUACAACCAUAAAUGAUUGUACGAAGGGUUAAAAGGCUAUAUAAGGGAGUUUAUGGCCAAAAUACACACUAUAUGUGUGUGUGCGGCCAGGUGUGCUGCCAGCACAUGUGUGUGGCCAUGUAUGCUGCCAGAUGGUGUGUGCUAUUGGGUGUGUGGCCAUACAUGGUGUGUGCGGCCGUACACCUAGUUUUCUUGGUACCUUUUAUGAAGAUCUUUAAGGAGGUUAGGAUGAUACUUGAGAGGAUUUCGAGUUCUAUGCUUGAAGAAGUGAAAGAAGUGUUCAAAAAUGACUAAGUGUGGUAUAUAUAGGUGGAGUGUGCGGUUGGGAAGGGUGUGAGGCCGCAAACACAUGUGUGUGGCCGCACACUCAAGUGUGUGGCCGCACACUCCAUGUGUUGGAGUGUUUGGCCUCUUUUUGAUUCCUACACUUUGAGUUAACCCAUUUCCACACUCCAACCUUGAUUAUAACACGUUUAGAACACUCCAAUAGACCCUACAUGGUACUACAAGAUAGAAAAACGAGUGUAUUAUUGAUAAGAAAUGAAGAAUGCAAGUUAGAAAUUUUCGGGUUGUCACAGCCUCAUUCACGAAGCUAGUCUAUAAAGGAUGUUUAAGUAAAUUGCCUAUAAAAUGGCGAUUGAAUAGGUAUCCACUCUUACCCACCGCACUCUUGACUAGUGGAGGGUCGUUAGCCGAACGGGUAGGAUAGGACAGAACUUUCCAUUAUAAGUAUAAUGAAAUACAAAAGUAACUAAAUGUUUUACAAAUUCCCAAUCUUAGUUACAUUAGGCAAAAGUGAAUUGAUGCAAUUCCAUGAAAUUACACUUUGUGCCCUUGCGAAGACGUUAGUCGAGCGUGUGUGGUUUAUCGGCACACUAAAUGGUUCUAAGCAAAGGUAGCAAAGGGUGACUCAAUGUUUGUCAUAGUUCGGUGGAGCGUGUGUGGUUUACCGGCAC
rnacentral:lncRNA from 1 species